rnacentral:tRNA from 1 species
GGGCACGUAGCUCAGCGGUAAAGUGUGUGCUUAGCAUGCAUGAAGUCCUGGGUUCAAUCCCCAGUGCCUCCA